CAUUGGGAGUAGAGAGUGGUGGAGAGAAAGAGAGAAGGUCAGAGAGGUCAGUAAAGUCCAGACCAUGCACAGCUUCAGGUCAGGUGAAGAAUGGGAAGCUAUUGGCAGAUUUUAAGCAGGGGAAUGUCAUGAUCUAAUGUUUUCAAAAGACCACUCUAGCAGGAGUGUGGUGGAGUGAGAGUGGGUGUGGGAAGAGCAGUUAUAUGACCAUUUAAGCGAUCUUAGCAGACAUGAUGGCAGCUCUGCAAUGAAGACCAGGAGAUGAACACGGGAUACAUUUUGGAGUUGUAGCUGAUCGGGCAUACUGAUGGAUUAGAGGGGGGUAGCAGUAAGCAAGGGGUCUUUGAAGAGUUCACCCAGGAGCUUCAAAAUGAGGAACAGUGCUUGCAAUUUCCUUGAAUACUAAGAACAUCCAGCUAUUUGUAGACAGAUAAAAGAGAGCAGCCCCCAGAGGUGCUGAUCCAGCCAAGAUAGCUCAUCCAGUUCUCAACAGGACUAAAGGACUUAUCCUAUGCCUAGUUUUU
rnacentral:lncRNA from 1 species